CCCUUAGAUGUUCUGGGCCGCACGCGCGCUACACUGAUGAAUUCAACGAGCUCCUAACCUAGGCCGAAGGGUCCGGGUAAUCUUUGAAAUUUCAUCGUGAUGGGGAUAGAUUAUUGCAACUAUUAAUCUUCAACGAGGAAUUCCUAGUAAGCGCGAGUCAUCAGCUCGCGUUGAUUACGUCCCUGCCCUUUGUACACACCGCCCGUCGCUCCUACCGAUUGAAUGGUCCGGUGAAAUGUUCGGACCGCGACAAGGCGGACGGUUCGCUGUCAGCUUUGCUGCGGGAAGUUCAUUAAACCUUAUCAUUUAGAGGAAGGAGAAGUCGUAACA
rnacentral:rRNA from 1 species